GAUGAACGCUGGCGGCGUGCUUAAUACAUGCAAGUCGAACGGAGAGUUAGCAAUAGCUCUGAGUGGCGAACGGGUGAGUAACGCGUUGGUGACCUGUCCCGAAGAUGGGGAUAACAGUUCGAAAGGACUGCUAAUACCCGAUGUGGUUGUGGAGGUUAGAGGCUCUGCAACUGAAGGAGCAAUCCGCUUUGGGAGGGGCCUGCGUCCCAUCAGCUAGUUGGUAGGGUAAAAGCCUACCAAGGCGUAGACGGGUAGGGGACCUGAGAGGGUGAUCCCCCACACUGGCACUGAAACACGGGCCAGACACCUACGGGAGCUG
rnacentral:rRNA from 1 species